AGAUUCAACCAAAAAUCAGUAGCUAUUUGAAAAAAAAAAUUAUCUCUACUAAACAUGCACAGACCUUGUUCAUUUUCCCCCUGAACAAUAUUGUAUAAUACCAAUCCAGUGUUAGAUAUUAUAUAGAGAUGUUUUUAAUACAUCGAGGCAUAGGCAGGUACAUGCCAAUGAUGAUAUUAUGCUAUUUUAAAAAUAAGGGACAUGGACACCCAUGGAUUUAGAUCCUUGAUGGGUUCUAGAACUCUGCCUCCUCAGAUACCGAGGAGAGCUCUGAUGCUUACAACAUGGCUGACAUCUGGUACUCACAUGAAGCAGUUGGAUGAUAUCAUCAGAGAAGCACUCUGUUCCUCUCCAGCGAGACCCAUAAGAUGACUGAUGUUGGAUGGAGCCAAGGAACAAGAGCCUCCAAGACCCAAUGGCAUGCAAAUGUUGAUUCUACUGCUGUUCACUAGAAGGAAUGACAGACUCGUUUGUGUUAGCUGGUCACAUGGUGCCUCUCAGACUCAUUCCUAUGGGAAUGUGGCAGAGGGUUGUACCAAGUCUAAGAAGGAUCAAGUACUCUGAUCCCAAGGGUGAAUAUUUGACCUCCUUUGAGGCAUUGGCAGCUGGAAGGAAAGAUGAGUUUUCCUGCUGCCUAUAGAAGCUCAUCUUUCAUGACAUGGUCCUAAGAAAUGAGAAAGGACCUUUAAUCCCACCUCACUUGAGUUUUACAUCAAAUUUUCAAUGUAUGUGUACAGAAGUAUGCAUGCAUCUAGCUAUCCAACAAUAUCAUUUUUCCAUGGAGAAGCAGAACUUUGGGAAAGAACAUCUUUUGAAAGAACAUUAACAAAUUGGCCGUCAGACUGAAUUAAGUAAGACCCACAAUGCCUCCCUUUCCCUUUUCCAUCUCUACCCUUACAUAUUUACUUCUGAGUACUUCCACGGAUGAUCAUGAUUGUGAUAUUCAAAACCACAAGUAGUAAAUGCAGUUGUGACUGAC